GACGAACGCUGGCGGCGUGCCUAACACAUGCAAGUCGAACGAAAGCAUAGCAAUAUGCUUAGUGGCGGACGGGUGAGUAACGCGUGAACAAUCUGCCCUGUACAAAGGAAUAGCCUCGGAAACCGGGAUUAAAACCGUAUGACACUUUAGUAUCGCAUGAUAAGAAAGUCAAAUCGAUUAGAGGUAUGGGAUGAGUUCGCGUCUGAUUAGCUGGUUGGCGGGGUAACGGCCCACCAAGGCGACGAUCAGUAGCCGGCCUGAGAGGGUGAACGGCCACACUGGAACUGAGACACGGUCCAGACUCCUACGGGAGGCAGCAGUGGGGAAUAUUGCACAAUGGAGGGAACUCUGAUGCAGCGACGCCGCGUGAGUGAAGAAGGUCUUCGGAUCGUAAAACUCUGUCCUUGGUGAAGAAAAGGACGGUAGCCAAGGAGGAAGCCCCGGCUAACUACGUG
rnacentral:rRNA from 1 species